GUCUAUGGCCAUGCCACUCUGAACAAGCCUGAUCCUGUCUGAUCUCGGAAGCUAAGCAGAGUCAGGCCUGGUUAGUAUUUGGAUGGGAAACCACCUAGGAAGACCAGGUGCUGUAGGCG
rnacentral:rRNA from 1 species